rnacentral:rRNA from 1 species
GAUGAACGCUAGCGGCAGGCUUAAUACAUGCAAGUCGAGGGGCAGCAUAGUGUAGCAAUACAUGGGUGGCGACCGGCAAACGGGUGCGGAACACGUACACAACCUUCCUACAAGUGGGGAAUAGCCCAGAGAAAUUUGGAUUAAUACCCCGUAACAUAGCGAUGUGGCAUCACAUUGCUAUUAUAGCUUCGGCGCUUGUUGAUGGGUGUGCGGCUGAUUAGAUAGUUGGCGGGGUAACGGCCCACCAAGUCUACGAUCAGUAGCUGAUGUGAGAGCAUGAUCAGCCACACGGGCACUGAGACACGGGCCCGACUCCUACGGGAGGCAGCAGUAAGGAGUAUUGGACAAUGGACACAAGUCUGAUCCAGCCAUGCCGCGUGAAGGAUUAAGGUCCUCUGGAUUGUAAACUUCUUUUAUAAGGGACGAAAAAAGGUCUUUCUAGAUCGUCUGACGGUACCUUAUGAAUAAGCACCGGCUAACUCCGUGCCAGCCGCCGCCGUAAUAC